CUGCCUCGAAAUAUUUAUUUUCGGGAAUAAUUAUCGGUGAUAGGCCCAACUAAACUCUUGUUUAAUUAACUAUCAUUACUUACGAUUCUCUACUUCAAUUUUCUCCAUUUCUCACUUAUUGAUUUAUGACCAACAUUUAACCACCAAAACAUAAGGUUAAAUCUUAAAUUUUUCACCAAAGUCCUUACUUAGCUCAAUUCCUCAAACAAGGUUUUUGUCUCUAUUAUUUAAGGCUACAUCUAACACUGUUAGACUGCCUACGUACUCUUGAUCGGGAUCAAGCUUUUCGUAGUUCACAUUUCCUUCCUUCCUUUCUUUAUCAAUUUCCAAACAUAUUCUAGUAACCACCAUAUUUACCAUUAGCUUUCACAAUCAAAUCACAUCAAAUGGUUACCAAUUAUGGAUUCAGAAUAUCAAAUUUUGCAUGAAAAAGAUAAUGGCGGCCUGCUGGUCAAGUGCCGCCUCGAAUUGCCGGAAAAUAUCAACUAUUUCAAAAAAUUACCAAGUUUUACAGGAAAGUAGAUCUCAGUAAGGGGAACAACUUUCAUACAUGUGGCCAAGUCUAAUUUGUUCCGGAAACACCUAAAAUUGGCAACGAGCCGCCGGAAACCCUUGAUUUUGGGUGUUCUUGAUUCGCCUCUAAAACCACUUUGACGCCCCAACCAAUGCCCGGGCUUUGUUCUUGAGGUUGAGGGGAGACUAUGGGUGGUGGUGAUGAGCAGAGUUAGCUUCAUAUCAUCGUGAAUUGAAGCUAAAGCGCCUCUCCGUACGGUUUCCUCUCAAAAUCCACCAAAUUUUAUUAAAUUUUCGAAUGAAAAUAGCAGAGGGAUCGAAUGGCCUCGAGGUAAGGGUCAUUUUGACACCAACAUCGUCGUCAAUGGUGGCUAGAGUUGGGAGAUGGAACCGGGUCGGGUCACGGGUACUCAAAGGGGAUUCGAUUCCCUUUCUUUUAUUUUCUCAUUUCCCCUCCUUUCUUUUCUUUCUGAUUGGCCCUCCUUCUCUCCUUUCCCUCAUUUCUCUCAUUUCUUUCCUCCCCUUUUCAUCUCAGCCGUCCACGCAGCCCCACAGGAUUGCUCCAGAAAUUGAAGCCUUCUAGAUUAAAGAUUAAAUUUACAAAAAUAUCCCUAACUUCAAACGUUAAUAACUCUUUCGUUAUGAUUCCGUUUCACGAAUGGUUUGCGUCCACGCAUUCAUAAGAUGGAGCUCUAUUCAAAAAUAUAAAUUGUGACCUCGAAUGGUCUACGAAUUUUAAAUAAUUAAUUUCCAAACUUCAAACUUCGUAACCAGUUUAAUUUAAAACUAAACUCAAACAAAUUAAUAUAAUUUCUCGAAAAAUAACAUAAAAUCUCAAUAAUGCCAAUACAUGGAUUAUAAUAAUUUCCAGAAACAAAACUUUACAAUUUUCCCAAUUUUAUUUUCGUAACCGUAAAUCUAUUUAUUUUCGAUUUUCUUCACAUAUUCAUAAUUAUGAAUAUAUAAUUCAUAUGUUUAAAUUUUCAGGGUAUUACAUUCACCCCCAGUUAAAAUAAAUCUCGUCCCCGAGAUUUCAACCAUUGAAUAACGAAAAGGAAUUAGAAUUAUUUCCACCAUUCCUUUAAUGGUGAAUGAUAUCAUAAUCUCAGUUUACGAUUUUAUUUAGGCUCCAAAAUAAGCAUCCAACGAAUAAUAAUUAUGAUUCUCACCCACACUCUCAGAUUCCCAGCCACAUUCAUUGGCAAAAUAAAUAUCUCAUACACAUUGGCAAAAAUAAUAUCAACCUUAAACCAUAAUUCUUGUUGGCUAAAUAAAUACCAAAACAUCAAACCACAUCAACCAUUGGCUAGAUAUAUACUAGCAUAAUAACCACGAUUAUCAUAAAUUCCAGCCAUAACCAUCUUUAGUCAAUUAAAUAUCAUAAUUUCAAGCCAUAAUCUUUAGUGGCUAAGUAAAUAUCAAAAUUUUAACCAACCAUUAAAAUUUCCAAUCACACUCACUAAGUGGGAAGGAGUUUAAAACCAAAUAUGCAAUACCAUUAACAUUGAACGAAAUCAAUCUCAUUCUAUGAUUUCAUUUCAUAUCCACCAUUAAACUAAAUUACCCAUAGUAAAUUUAAAACCUUAUUUUUUUUCUUUAUUUCAAUUGGUUCUCUUUGAAAUUGCUUCAAAGUGUAGAAUAAAUUUGUGAGCCACACUUCUAGAGCACUAUUCACAUUUCAUCAAUCAAUGAAGAGGGAUUUAUAUAUUGUACAACUUUAUUGGCCAACAAAACUAAUCCUUAUUAAUCACAUAGUCAUGAAAAUACGUGUUCUUCCUCAGGUCUGUUCGCAAUAUCAAAUCUAACAAUAAUAACUCAUGACUAUGGUAACCAAACCAAUCUAGUUUGUAUUUACAAGCUUUCCCCAACAAUUAUUUCCAUCAACUGUAAAUACACAAUUGGGAAGUCGUUUAUAUUAAAUGAACUCAAUGUUUCAUUCCAUAAUUUUACUCAUAUCCACCAAUAAUAAAUGAAGGAAACUUCAUGGUCUUUCCACCAUUUCAAAUUAUAAUAACCAAAUCAUAACCUCAGUUUAUGAUUUCAUUCUCAUUCGAUGAAUCUUCAUACGAAAUCCCAUUCACAGUAAUUGGAAAUUUAUAUCAUAAUUAUUGGUAAUACCACUUACCAUUUCUUUUGGCAACACCAAUAUCAGAGAUUCUGGUCAUAAACAAUAUUGGCAACAUCAAAUGUCAAAAUUCAAGCCAUGACUAUCGUGGCUAACAAAAUAUCAGAAUUUCACACCAUAAUUCGUUAAUGGCAAACCAACCAAUCAAAUUCGUAAUUUAUAAAAUUUCCUCGUCAAUUCUCCUCAUCAAACACAAAAACUCAACUGGAAAUUUUUAUAUUAAACGAACUCAGGAUCUCAUUCCAUAUUUUCAUUCAUGUCCACCAAUAAUAAAUGAAGAAAUCUUUAUGAUCGUUGUCAAAACAAUGUUUCCACCACCAUUUUUUUUUCCAAUCAGCUACUAGUGGACUGGAAAAGAUUGUAAUAUACCUGGCCAAUACACAUCACAUAUUCUUAUUACUUCAAUAAUUCAUUCUCACAGCCUACACAUGGAGCUUUUCUCCCGAAAAUACUCAGUCUUUAUGCCCAUUCAAUCACUUUUCCACAUUCCAUGGGUCAUUUCGCCCAAAUCCACAUCCACGGGCUUCUUUUUUCUUUAUUUUUUUUUUCGCCCAAAUCAAUAUCCACGAGCUUUUUCGUCCAAAUCAACAUCCUUAGGCCUUUUUGCCCACAUCACACAUCUUCGGGUCUUUGUGCCCAUAUUACUCAUCCUCCAAUUCCACGGGCUAUCACGCCCAAAUUGACAUCCACAGGCCUUUUUCGCCCAAAUCAACAUCGACGACAUUUUCUACCCAAUUCAAUAUUUCUCACAGGCAUAGGUAUAAUACAACUCUUCCAUCUACAUGUCACAAUUCCACUAUCAUCUUAACAUUCAAAUAUUUUCAUAACUCAUAACAUAAUAUCAAUCCCAUUUAAGAUUUAUCCGAGACUUG
rnacentral:lncRNA from 1 species